rnacentral:lncRNA from 1 species
UGUCAUUGUAGUGUAGAGAUGGAGUACAACAUAACACACACUAAUUUACAUUAUUUCAGCUCAUUAUUCCGUGGUGUUUACCUUUCUAAUGCUUAAUUUUUUUCUCUUUACACCUCUAAUUUUUUUUAGAUAAUGGAUUAUAUUAAACCCGGCCUCUACACCUUGUGAGGGUGUACACAGCCCAAAUGAAAAGAAUCUGAGUACAUGAGACUCUCCCCAAAACAUGGGACAAACCGUUUAACAUAUAAGAUACACAAGCAUCCAGGAAAACUAAAGACUAAGCUUCAAUCCUUCCUCUGAAAUUCCACCCGUCCCCAGCGAAAAAUUCCAUCAGUCGCCUUUCCAGCAGUUCUCUCCUAGUUACCACUUCAAUUCCUUCAUCUUCUUUAAGAAGCAAAGACCAAAGUGUGGCCAGCUGCGUUGCUUUGAAUAGAACCUGCAAGAAAGAAACAAUUUUGUAGCCAUUAAAGACUAUAUCAUUCCUACUUAGCCACAACGCCCAACAAACUGCCGCUAUUGCCACCCAUGUUUGUCUUUUUAAACUAGGUUCUAGACCCCUUAACCAACUUCCGAAAAGAUGAGAUUUAUUCCGUGGUUGUUUGAUCCCAAAAGAAAUAUAAAUCGUGCUCCAAAUGUGUCGAGCCAUUAUACAAUCAAAGAAGAGAUGCUGAACUGUCUCCUUAGCGUGACAAAAGCUACACAACAGACUUCCUUUCCAAUUUCUUUUAGCGAGACUAUCUUUUGUUAGGCAAACCCCUUUUUCCAAGCCAUUAACCUUUAGAGGAAUCCUUAGCUUCCAAAUUAGUGAUUUCCUAGGUAUGACAUCAUUGAGCAUAAGACUCCUGUACAUGGAGCUAACUAAGAACAUUCCUUUUUUGUUAUUUUUGCAGUAGAAUUGGUCUCGCUUAUCGUUUAGGUUGAUAUUCACCACCCUUGAAACGAUGUCUAACCAAUCCUCCAAACUUCUUCCUACAAUUGCUCUUCUAAAAGAGACAUUCAAAGGGGUCUUUCCUAACACAUCCGCAACCACCAUAUUCUUUUUCCUAACCAGUCUGUACAAGUUUGGAAAUUCCUCUUGGAAAGAUUGGUUGCCCCACCACUUAUCUUCCCAGAACCUUAUUUGUUUUCCACUAUUCACAAUGAAAUGGCCAAGUUCUUGGAAGGUUUCUUUUGCUGUCAUCAGUCCAGCCCAAAAAUGGGAGUCUCCUGGUUGUUUCUGGGCCUGAAAAAAGGUUUUCUUUGCCAAGUAUUUCCUUCUCAACAUUUGCUGCCACAAACCUUCUUCGUUAAAAAGCUUAAAAAUUCAUUUGCUCAGUAAACAUUUGUUUUGCGUUGCUAAAUCCUGAAUUCCUAACCCCCCACAUUCCUUUGGUUUGCAGAUCACACUCCACCUAGCAAGUCUAUACUUCUUUUUGUUCUCAUCGUAUUGCCAAAAAAAUCUGGAUCUGUAAUAGUCUAGUUUCUUUAAAAUUCAUUUAGGUAUUUCAAAGAAGGAUGUCAUAUACAACGCUAACCCGCUUAAGACUGAAUUAAUGAGCACUAGUCUCCCUCCAGUCAAUAAGAAUUUUCCUUUCCAACUGCUUAGCCUUUUUUCAAACCUGCUUUCCAAUUCUUUCCAAUCCUUGGUCAUCAGACUCUUGUAGUGCAUAGGUAAUCCUAAAUAUUUGAGAGGGAAAGCCCCCAUUUUACAACCGAAAAGAUGAGAGAAAAUUUCUUCUUCUUCUCUGGCCUUGCCAAAAAAAAAAUAGCCCACUCUUAUGAAAAUUGAUUUUAAGGCCUGAUAAUUUCUCAUAGGCACCUAGGAUCAAUUUGAGAUUCUUGGCUCCAUCCAUAUCAUUUUCCAAAAAGAGAAUAGUAUCAUCCGCAUACUGUAAAAUUGACAGCCCAUUAUCAAUUAAAUUUGGUACCACUCCAUAUGUCAAACCUUUUUCAACCGAUCUAUUCAACAGGAUUGCAAGCAUGUUUGCAACCAGAUUAAACAUAAUUGGUGAAAGAGGGUCUCCCUGUCGCAAACCUUUUUUUGUCUGAAAGUAGUGCCCGAUAUCAUCAUUCAUUUUUACUGCCACGCUUCCUCCUGAAACUAUCUGUUUUAUCCAAAGACGGUCUACUUGUAAAGCCUUUCAUUCUCAGAGUUUGUUGCAGGAAGCUCCAAUCUACCAUAUCAUAAGAUUUUUUCGAAAUCAAGUUUCAAGAUCACCCCAUCCAUCUUUUUCUGGUGCAUCUCAUGUAGUGUCUCGUGGAGAAUAAUGGCGCCUUCCUUAAUAUUCCUUCCUUUCAAGAAAGCAGCCUGUGAAGGCCCAAUGACAUUCUUCGCUACUAGAGCGAUCCGGUUUGUCAUGACCUUUGUAAAUAUUUUAUAACUUACAUUAAGUAAGCAUAUUGGUCUAAAUUGCUGUAAUUUCCAUGCUUCCUUACUCUUUGGUAGAAGAGUAAUGAUUCCAAAGUUCAGGCUUUCCAACGAUAAAUCUCCCCUGUGGAAAUCUCUAAAUACUGCCAUGAGGUCAUCCUUAAUAAUUCCCCAGAAAGUUUGAUAAAACUCCACCGGGAAUCCGUCCAGGCCUGGGGCUUUAUUAUGCUCCAUUUGAAAAAUGGCUUUUCUGACUUCUUCUUCUUCAACAUCUCUUGUUAACACCUUAUUUUCUAAUGCUGACACCUGUGGUAUAUCCUCUUUUAGAUCCUCAAUCAUAGAGAAAUUAUUUCUUUUGGGGGCUCCAAAAAGGAUUUUAUAGAAUUUAGUUGCGUACUGCCAAAGCUCGUUUUCACCUUUUAUCACCUCCUCAUCUUGUUCUAGCUGAAAAAUCCUCGUUUUCCUAUGUUUACCGUUUGCUAUCAUGUGAUAGUAUUUUGUAUUGUUGUCCCCUUCCAAAAUCCUCUUUGUCUUAGCUCUUUGAUACCAUUUAGUUUCUUCUUCCCUCAACAUUUUUGCUAAAGCCUGCUUGACUGAAUUUUUUAGCUCAAGUUCUUAACUAGUCAAGAGUCUUAUCUCGGCUAAUUUAUCCAGCUCAUCCGCUUUUGCUAUUAAUUUUCCUUUUGCCUUUUUAUAGAUACCACUAACGUUUUUUGCCCAUUCUCUAAGAAAUUGACGGAGCCUUAGAAUUUUAUUUUGCCAUUUCUCCAUGUUAUUUCUUCCUUUGACAUCUUUGGACCAACUAUUGAUUACCACUUGAUGGAAGUUCUCCCUCUGCAGCCAUCCUAAUUCGAAUUUGAACAAGGGUUGGUUAUUUUUUGUUGCCCCUUUCCCUGUAUCUAGCAACAAGGGGGUGUGAUCUGAGAGCUCUCGACCAAGAGCUCGAAUUGUCACCAACGGGUUCUUGUCUUCCCAUUCCGUGUUAACCAGAACCCUAUCCAACUUUUCAUAAGUUGGGUUUGGUAGGGAAUUUGCCCAUGUAUACUUACGACCUGAAAGCGCUAUCUCUCUCAAAUUUAAGCUAUCAAUAACAGCAUUAAAAAGAAAGUGCCAUUUAUUAUCAAAGUUCACCUUAUUUUUUUCCUGCGGGUUUCUUAAGAUAUUAAAAUCUCCCCCUAUUACCAUAGGUAAUGCCUCCUUUUCGCAAGAAUUGACAAGUUCAGCAAGAAAUGCUUCAUUGUAUUCAUCCUGAGCUGCCCCAUAAAUAGCAACCAAAAUCCAUUGGAGUGCGUCUUCUUUGUUUUGUAAAUGAAACUUCACAUAGAAGUCACCUUCAUCUAUGCUUGAAACAUCAAAUACUUCCAAAUUGACUCCAAGUAAAAUUCCUCCACUUCUACCCUUCGGCCUUGUCCCAUGCCAUAAGAAAUCCCUUGCUCCGCAAAUGUUUUUCAGCCACGAAUCCGCAUACUUAUUUUUACCGGUUUCUAGAAGAGCAAUAAAGUCUAGCUUUUGCUCUUUAGAUAAUUCCGAAAGAAAUCUUGUUUUAGCCAAGUCUUUACGACCUCUGCUAUUCCAAAAUAUUCUUUUCAUUGAUAUUUUCUUUUAUUUCCUAUUCUAAGCCCUACCCUCCCUUUCUUCUUCUUGGGGUCUCUCUUAAUUUUUGACCAGUUGUUAAUCAAGACAUCAUCCUCAGAAUCGCACCUUAGGUGCAGGUCCUCCUCAUCCAUGACUUCUUCCAACACAUCAUCACAUAAGAAAUUAAGCAAUAUACUGUCCUCCUGCUCCUCCUCCUCUAUUAAAAUAGAAGGGCUACCAACUUCCCCAUGUAUUUCAGCCAAAUCAGCAUCCAUACAUCCUAAGUUUUUAGUUUUGUGAGAAUUAUCCUCCCUUAAAAGAAAAAUUGAUUCAGACCUUAAAGCAUUAGUUUCUCCUAGGUUUAGUCCUAAGUCAACUAAAUUUUUAACAAUAUUAUCUUGCAAAGUAAGGGAACCUGAGAAUUUAGCUUCAGUACCUGUGCCUAAGUCGAGGUUCAUCCUCGCCUUCUUGGAUUUCGCUUUUUCGAGGGAGUGCUCUCUAUUGCUGUCUCUCAGCCUCUCACUGGCACUUUCGGUGUUGUCACCACUUUUGCAACAUUGGCUAGCCUAGCAAUCUUCUCUUGCUGCACCAUUCCUUCAAUAUCUUCUUUCUCUUCUCUCUCAACCUUCUCAUGCACCUCCUCUAGAACUUCUUUGACUGCCAGGUCCAAAAUGUUAUCCGCCAUUAACUGCACCUCUCCUUCUUUGUCAAAAUCUUUAGCUUCAAGAGCUUCUUUUCCUCCAUCUUUUUUCUUUUCAUAAUUACCAUCCAUAACCACAUCAUCCUUUUCCAUCAUUUCCCUUUUUAUUCUCCCCUUCUUCCUUUCCUGUUCCGUCCUCCCCUCCUUCCACAUUGCCAUCUUCAUCAUCUCCAUCCCCUUCAUCCAAAUUAAACCCCUUUUUUCUCUACCUCAAUUUUUAAUUCAAAGUAAUGGUCCCCAAUCACCACAUCCAGCAUCCUGGGGAUUAACUUUGGGUUAAGCACUGCUACGAAAACCCGACCGAAGUCAUUUUGCCUAGUGGUUUUCAUGUUGACCAACUGCGUAGCCCCUAAAAGCGACCCUACUGCCCACAACGUUAAAUACUCCCUUAGUUUCUUUCUCAGCCCAAAAAUCCUAACCCAGACUUUAGGUAGGAGAAAACCUUCUUCUUCUUCCACCCAUUCAUCGAACUCCACCCUUACACCCGUAGCUAUUCCUCCUUCCUUCACAUCUGCUCCACCAAAGUUUAUAGCCCGCUGCAAUUCUCCUUUUGUCGGAAACGGAACAGUGAAGGUAUUGUUACCUUGCGGUACCGGUUCCCAUUUCCAUUUGGCUGGACAAUUUUUUUGGAGCAAUGAGAUCAACCAUCUACUGAUAGAAUACCUCCAACCACACGCACCAGUGCCUUCUUAGUAUUUUUCUUACUCAUUUGAAGUGGGUGAUGGUAUAUAUGCUGGAAUUCUAGACCCUCAACCGCAUAUCCCACCGCCUGCACCCCUGGUUUUGGAAGCUUCAGGAUUGGACAUUUGUGGUUGACAUGCUCGCUGCUAUCGCAGAUAUCACAAUACACCUCCACAAUACACUCAGUACUUGUAUGUCCCUUUUGAGUGCACCUGGAACAAACUAUCCCUCUUUCUGAACACCUCCACCCCCUUUCUGAACAUCUCCCUUGUUAUUACUAAACAAAAGCUGCACUUCUCCACCUUCCAGCAAACCAUCUUCAUCAGCAAACUCAAGUGUAGGAAUUUUACCUUUCUUUUCUUUUGCCUUCAUCAGGACCACUACUUCUCCCACCUUGCUCUGCCCUGGAUUCAAGUUUCCUUCUCCUCUAUCUGCCUCAUUUUUUGAUUUCAAAGACUCACCAAAAGUCCUAUCGAUAUCCUCCUCCAUUGGAAUCGGGUCGUCCCAUCGACGCUUGAACACAUUCCUGCCCACUUGUUGAUUUCCACCCCCAGCACCAUAACCUCCCCCCUGUUGUCCAGCUCUUCCAGGGAGGCCACCCCUUCUUGCUCUGUCUCCUGCCCCCCGUGGCCUAAAACCGAAAGGCGGUCUUGUUCUUCCCCCGUUUCCUUGCCUGAAGCUGAUUCUGGGCUGGAAACAUAGCUGAUCUUCCUCUGCUCCCAUCGUACUGCCUCGUUCCUUCCCCAAGCUCCUCCGCCAUGGUGUGCCCAGGCCCCUCCACCACGGUGGCUCAUGCCUUCCGCCGCCGAACGCAGUCGCUGGGGAUCACGAUGCCUCUCUUUUUCCUCUCCUCCUGUCUGUUCAACUUUCUUUGUUGUGACCACCACCCUCCCAGUUGCCAGUGUGAGUGGCUUCCGGUCCUCAUUAGCAAGCGGCCCACCCCAGGGUAGAAUACAAUCGGUUUUUUGGAGCCAGUGCCCCAAUAAAACUCCUUAAAUGUGAAUUUCUCAAAAGGUCUCGAAAUUAAACUGACCUGCAAAGUUGCCUCCUUGAUUCCCUCGGCAAAUCCUCUUUUCAGAUUUUGGGUUCUGACACCGAGGAUCACCUGUUCUUCCCCUUUCUUCUUCCCUCCCGGCUCCCUUUCAAUCACAAUUUCCCUGUCAAUUUCUUUUUUAUCCGAGCAAGGUGUUGCCUUAGGCUUUUGUUUCUUGAGACGCAUGGCCUCAGCCAGCUUGUCCCCGAUGGUGAGACAUUGCGAGCGUCUAGCGCCCGGCAGUGGUCCUCUCCAUGGUUUACAUCGGCUGUUAUUUUUGCUUGCAACCGCAUCAACUAUUCUUCUCGCUUGCUCACCGUUUUUCCUAGCUCCUUUGUUCUUAGAACAUGAUCUGGGUAUCUUUUUUUGGUGCUAGCAGCAGAUGUUCUCCCGCACGGAGCACCUCAUCCCCUGUGAAACCUUCAGCCAUCGCCCUCUCCAAGAAAACAACAUCGCUAUCUCGUCCUUCACUGCACUCAACAUCCGUCUCUGGUUCUGUUGGUUCAUCUUCAUCAUCCGAUGAUUCUAAAUUCUCCCCAAGAGCCCAGAAUCUAGAGCCAGCAAAACACUUGGACGGAGCUGAAGAACAAAACGAUCUACCAACAUAGCUAACCGUUGAUAGGGAAUCCCCCGCCGGUGGUAACAUAGGAGAUGAUAAUCUCCCGCUACCUUGCUUGCCAACCGGCCUCUCCUCUAACCGUUGCUCAGAAAACCUUUGCUUACCUGAUGAUGGCGGUGCUGUUGUCGGGGAGUCCAGUUCGUCCGCCCACCACCUGCCCGAAGAAGCCUUGAUGGCCCAGCUCACCUUCUCUCACAAUCUCAGUGGUGUAUACACGAACACAAGCUCGCUAGCUUCUCUCGGUGGAUGGAAACACACAUAUGCACAGGAACAAAAGAAGUAGCACACACAGAAGUUACUCGGUACUGCCCACCAGCACCAGAACUUGCACUUAUAUUCAG